AGGAGGAACAGCCCCAGUGGCGGGGCAGCUCUGGACACCUGGAUUCAGCUCCGGCAGGAACUCCGUCUGCAGGGCCUGGAGGCUCCGGGGCGGG
rfam:Canis lupus familiaris chromosome 6, whole genome shotgun sequence.